GCCGGGGUAGCUCAGUUGGUAGAGCGACGCACUCGUAACGCGUAGGUCAGCGGUUCAAUCCCGCUCUUCGGCU
rnacentral:tRNA from 1 species